UUGGAGGGCAAGUCUGGUGCCGGCAGCCGCGGUAAUUCCAGCUCCAAUAGCGUAUAUUAAAGUUGCUGCAGUUAAAAAGCUCGUAGUUGAAUUUCGGGACCAAUAUGUCGGUCGUGCCUCGGUACGUACUGGCAUCGUUGGUUUCUCCCUUCUGACGAACCAUGAUGUCAUUUAUUUGGUGUCGUGGGGAAUCAGGACUGUUACUUUGAAAAGUUUAGAGUGUUUAAAGCAGGCUCACGCUUGAAUACAUUAGCAUGGAAUAAUGAAAUAGGACGUUUGAUUCUAUUUUGUUGGUUUCUAGGAUCGACGUAAUGAUUAAUAGGGAUAGUUGGGGGCAUUAGUAUUCAAUUGUCAGAGGUGAAAUUCUUGGAUUUAUUGAAGACUAACUACUGCGAAAGCAUUUGCCAAGGAUGUUUUCAUUAAUCAAGAACGAAAGUUAGGGGAUCGAAGACGAUCAGAUACCGUCGUAGUCUUAACCAUAAACUAUGCCGACUAGGGAUCGGAUGAUGUUAAUUUUUUAAUGACUCAUUCGGCACCUUACGGGAAAC
rnacentral:rRNA from 1 species